UUUUAUGCUCAAGUUGAGUUUUCAAAGUAAAAGUCGAGCAAGAGUAUUGUUGGAACCCUUAGCCAAGAAAAAUGAUUUUCAAGUUUAUGUUGAAUUUUUGAAAACCCGGGUGUUGCGAAUCUAGUUAGAAAAUGAUGACAAGUCAUGAAGGUUAAGCUUGAUUUUAGGAUUAUGAGUUUAAGUUGAGAACUUAUCUUGUAGGUCCUACAGAAGAGGAUAUUUAGGCUCUUGUUCAGCUGAGUUAUAUUGUUUGGAUUUUCUUCAAAUCAGAACAUUGUUGGCUCCGCCAACCAAAACAUUGUUAGCUCUGCUAACCAGAAUUGUGUACGUACACCAGAACCUGUUGUCUCGAGAGAUUCGGUGACAACCAGUUGUAGUUAGCACGCCCAAUAGAUGAGC